rnacentral:lncRNA from 1 species
AGAAAUGCAGAAGCAGAUGGUACUGCUGAACCAAAUGUGUGAAAGGCUAGUAACUCAUAGAUGCAUAUAAUUUUUAGAGUUGGAAGAGACCAAGGAGUUAAAUUCAUCUAACUCCCAUUCUAUAAGUAUUUCAGAUGACUGCAGUUGUGUCCUCAUCAUCAAUCUCUAAAUGAAGUUACUUGAAGCAAUUCUUGAAACCAUAAUAAUAAUGUCUCCAGAAUUGGUGGAUUCUUGGUCUCACUGACUUCAAGAAUGAAGCCACGGACCCUCGCGAAGGACUUUGGACAACAAUUUCUUUGACUGAAACUGGGGUCAGAGUUGCAGACUCCCUGGAACAUGAAAAGUCAAUAAUCUAGUUCCCAAAAGGCAGACAAGAAACUAUUCCCAAGAUGAACAAAUGAUGAGAAUAGAGGUAAAGGUGAAAAUGAUGUGCUGUCAGCUGUGAAAUGAGAAAGCCUUCCAUCAGACCCUGGAAAAGAUGUAAAGAGCUGUACUUCAGAAAAAUAUUGGAGAAAAGUACAAAUCUUAAAAAAAUUUUUUUGAGUAGUGCAUUUCAUCAGCAGAUGCUGUCAAUUUUGUUAUACUGGUAACAGAUAUCUAUGGAAAAUGAAAUUCUCAACAGCACAUUGCCAGCAUGUUCCCCCACAAAAACAGCCAUGGUUAAAUAAAAUAGAAAUUCUUGCACAUGAUUAGAAAUUUGCAAAAGAGAUUAAAUGUGGCAUUGAUAUAAUAAAGCCUUUGAUUAACUAACAAAACUUCAUCAGGUAUCUAAAAGAGCUGUUUGAAUUUCUAACCAAGUCAGAACACCAGCUAUUACACUCCUUAAAACAAUUAUGCCCCAAAUUAACAUCUUAUAUGCAAAAACAUUUUGUCUGUUUUGAAGACUAACAAAGACUGGAAAAGCAUGAGAAAGAUGAGUAGUUAUCACUUCAAUAGUGUUUGGAUUAUUGAGUUAUGGUUAAUUGAUGGUCUUUAAUAGGAUUUACAAAGCUAGUAUCAUAGACGGUCAGGGAAAUCCUCUUUCCAAACAUUAUAUAGUUAAGUCACAGAAGAUGCUGUGGAAAAUAGACCCAAAUAGUGCCUAUAAGUAUAGUUGGUAUGAAUUGAAGCACUACAAGCAGUGAUAGAGCUGUGUGGAAGACAGAAGACAAACAUCACACUUUUAAGUUUGCCGAUCUACCCUGGAAUAAAUUGAUGUUACAAUCCUUGAUGUUUGUAUUUCUGCUCUGUUGCUCUAAGUGAGAAUAUAGGAUGUACUUUGAGAGAUUACAGUAAGUUGUAGGAGUUCCUCACUCAUAUAAAUGGAUUGAACAGGGCCAGGUGCGGUGGCUCAUGCCUGUAACCCUGGCACUUUGGGAGGAUGAGGUGGGAGGAUUGCCUGAGCUCAGGAGUUCAAGGCCAGCCUAGGAAACAUGGGAAGACCCUGUCUCUAUGAAUGAAUGAAUAAUAAACAGAUUUAAUGAAUUCUGGAUCUGCUGUAUUUAUCGCAUAUCAUGUAUAAUAUCUUUAUGUAUGGUUAAUAAAUUCUAAAUAGAAAAGGUUAAUAAAUGAAUCAACAAGAUUGGGUACCAGAACACCAAGUAGAUAAGAUAUUAUCCAAGCCACACGAUUAUAGAGAACAUCCUCACAUUUUGGCAGCAGCAUAAAACAGACAAACAUCUACAUUAUCUCAUUUUUCCUGAAGAAAACAGAACUUCACAUGAGCUGAAAUGAAUGCUUGGUAUCAUGAUGGGUCUCUGUCAUUGUCCUUGGUAUGUCCUCUAAAGUAAAAACAGGAAAAUCCUCUUCUGAAUACCUAAUGAAGUAAGGUUUCAGCAAAGUCUUGUAGAAACUUAUGUUCUCUAGUCUCUAAGAAUUGAAAGGUGGGAGGGGCUUGGCUAAAGGAAUACUUGUUUGGUACUGGAGAAAAUGAAAAAGCAAAAACAUGGGAAUUCUGGGGUUCCGUGCCUCGCAAAUAUUUGUCUUGGGUGACAAAUUUUUUUCCAAAUUCUGAUUGUGUGGCUCCUGUUUCAGGAUGGGCUCUUUGAAGCUUUAAACAUUAAUCAGAGACUAUAUUCAGGUAUAAAGCAAGCCUGUGACCUUUGUCCAAGGAUUCAGUUCAGUCUUGUAAAUCAGAAAUUCAAAUGUCAAAUCAUUCAUGAUUUAUUCAGCUUUGGAUAUGGGCAUUUAGAAACACAUGCUGUCAAAGUAUAGAGGUGUAUUUUUAGUCAUUUGAGGCAUAUUCUCUGAAGUCUAUCCCAUCUACAAAGAUACAUACAUUUCCUUUAUGUAAUUUUAAAUUAUAAGAAUGGGGAACGUCUUUGACAGGACUAGUUUAUGCCAGUUAAGAUGCUGAAAGGCCAGCAAAGUCUUUGAUAGGGGAAAGGCCAUGAAUUUCUAGAUCACAUUUCAUAUUGAGAGAGUGGCUCAUUGUGGGAGCUAUUCACUUAAACAGAUUUAUUCUAUAUUUCAAUGUGCAAAUUAGUAUUCAAUGUAGCUAAGAGACAGUUUCAUGCUUGGAGCCAUGAACAGGGAGGUUUGAAAACAAAUCACAGUGUGAGGCAAAGUAGGGUCAAUUAAGGGGGUUGCCAUUUAGACAAGUCCCAUAGAUGGGAUAAGGUUUUCUUUUUGGUGAGCCUUUGGACAGGAUGAGAAGGUCAGUUGUGGACAGUAACCUCAAACUAAAGGAACUGAAAUAAGUUUCUGAGCUUUAUUCAGUAUAUUCAACAGAGACAAACUGUCCAAGAUACCCUAUUCUUCCUUAGUGAGUUGAGCAAGGGAGUGGAUCACACGUUCUCAGCUGACAUUGACACAGCCUGAGGCCUAUGGAAAGGGAAUGAGGUAGUCUUCUUAUCUGUGAGGGAAUCUGAAACUUCAGUGAGUCCUUAGUCACCUAAGAAGGGUUGUCUUUUGGGAGGAACGAGGGCAACCUUACAGGUAUAAAUCCUUCCUUUUUAGAAAACAAUACAAGGUAUUACUCUACACAUAAUUAGGAGAUAUUCAAAAGAAUCUUCUUUAUUUUGAUCAGUAUUUAUUUAUUUAUUUAUAAAUUUCUGUCAGGGUGGGGGAAAAUCUUGUUCAAUACAGAUUCCACCAGGAUUGUAGCUAAGUCACAGACAGCCUAUGCAGUGUCCAGAUAUCCACAUGCUGAGGUGAACUUCAUCUUCAAGGUAUUUAUCUAUGCAUACCAGCAUCCAUGGAGAUGCUAAUAACUAACCAUGCAGAUUGUUGCCAAAUGUUCCCUAAUUCUUGACCUUAAGGACUCUUUAGGAUCAGCAUUCUCUUAGCCACUUUGUGGCUCACUCAGAUCUAUCUAUCUGCCUAAACAUAACACUCAACCAUUCUUAUUCUGUGGUUCUGCCACUGCACUGAGCUCCACCUGGUAAUGGGGACAUUGAUUCUGUUGUUUUCACAUCCCCCAAGCUGAUUUGGGGUUCUGUUGUCCCCCCUCCCCACUAGAGAUUAAUCUUGGGUGAACAGGAGAGAGGUAGUCUCAGAGUAUGGGAGUCCUUCUUAUUCGCUGUAACAGGCACAGAUUAUUGUAGCUCAAAUAACAGAAAUCCUAGCCAACAGUGGCUUAAAUAUCUCACAUAACCAGAGGUCUGGAAAUGCAGACCAGGACUGGUAUAGCAGCUUAGUUAUACUGCCAAGAAUUCAUCUUCUUGCCAUAUUUCCUCUUUGUCUUCCUCAGCUUUUGGCUUCUAUUAUUGUGGUUGUCAUUAUUGUGCUUUUCAUGUUCACAAGAUGACUGCCACAUCUCCAUGUCACAUCCAUGGUCAAGGUGGGAAAAAGGAGUUAGCACCAACUACGUUCCACUCAAUCAGAAAAGCAAAAGCUUUCUCAGAAACUUCCCAGAAAAAUUUCCCUUUACCACAUUGGGUUAGCCAAUUACAAAUGACUGGUACAAGAACCCAUGGAUAUUUAAGUUCUCAGUUUUCUUCAGAUUCUCUUCAUCCCUCAUAAUCCCAGGAAACUUGUUAUAGUCUGUCUAGGACAGAUACUAACUUGGCUCAUUGACUACCCACUUCCAGUCACAUUCUCCAUUGCUUUCCUCUACUCUACAGGUUAGAGAGCUCUAAAUGCUUAAUUUCUCAGUUUCUCUUGGUUCUAAGGAUGGUCAUGUGACCCGGUUCUAGCCAGUCGGGUGUGUGUGUGUGUGUGUGUGUGUGUCUUCCUUUCCUGAAUAAAAAAGGCAAAGGCUCACUAGGAAAUUCUCUUUGUCAUUCCCUCCUCUUCCUAUAUGGAACAUAGCUUUGAUGCCUGAAGGUACAACAAACAUCUCAUGACUAUGAGGGGAUGAAAAUGGAUACCAAGGAUACCAAGAUGAUGGAACAAAAAGAAUUGAUUUGGAACAUGACGGCACUAUGGAUUCAUCGUAUUGGACCUCUGUGAUAUAAUUCUGAACUUUUCAUAUAAGACUAAUAUACCCCUACUUGUUUAAUACAACUGUAGAGUUAUCUGCUACUUGCAGCCAAAUGUAAUCCUAACUAAUAUAGGCAAUAAAUCAUGUUUUUAUAUCACUAUGUAGGUCUUCCAAUCUAUUGUCUUUGCCAGAGCUGUCUCCAUUCUUCUAAAAGGUCCCAACUUCCAAAAUUCAAAACCAAGAAAACAACCUCUUUUCUCUGACAUUUUUAUUGGGUCAGACAUUUUGCUGUGUCAGAAAAUGAUUCCAUAUAAUUUGUCCAAAUGGGGAAGGGCUAUGCGAGAUACAAGGAAUUAUAGGGAGAAAAUUAUUGACACAUAUUUAAAAAUAUAUCUCAGCAUAGUUACAAAUACACAGAAACCCAUCCAAAUUAGACUAAGACAGUAAAUUUAUUGGGUGGAUGUAAGUAUAUCUUAUGGACCUAAGGAUAGGAAGUCCGGUUGAACCUCAUUAUGAACUGGAACCAGGAACUGAAAAGUUAUGAACCAGUGCAGCUCUUCUCCCUUUCCUCUAUGGUAACAUGAUCUCUUAUGAUCUACUUUCUUCUUCUCUCUUGCAUUGGCUUUAUCUGCUUCUGCAUGCACAUAGUAGAAAAUAGUAAUUUCAACUGUAUUAGCUCAAAGACAAACUAAGAUUGACUAACACCUGUUACUUUUAUUUUCCAGGCUCUCUGGAGAAUUAAUCUGAUUGGUCAAUUUUUUGGUUGUACAUCAGUCUUUAGUCCAAUUAGUGACCUUGGGAAUGGGGUCAAAUGACUUAGCAAUUCUUAGGACCAAAGGAGAAUACCCUUUUGAAAAGAGGCCAUGGAUAUGUAUAUGUGUGUCAGUGUUUUUUGGAGAAGAAACAUCUCUACUACUCUCCUAAAAUUUUAAUUUGGGGAAAGGUAAACCAAAGUAAUGAUUCAGCCAUUCUACAAACAUUAUUCUCACUUGCUCCUCCUCUUAUGUUUUCUCUCAGGGAAUUCAUCUAGUUGCUCAUGUCAUAAACCUCUACACAACCAAUGAUUACCACAAUAGCUAACAAUUACUAACUCUGUGACAGCUGUUCUACAUGCAUUAUCUUAAGUUCAACCUCACAACAACCAUAGAAGUAGGAAUUAACUAUUUUAUUGAUAACAAAGUGAAAUUUAGAGAUGUUAAGUCAAGCCUUCAAGAGAGAGACCUCAUGUCUCCUUGUCUCUGAUCUUGCCCCGCUGAUCCAUUUCUUUUUUAACCCAGUAAUCAUAGUGGUAUUUCUAAAACACAAAUCUGAUGUUACUUUCCUGCUUAAAAUCCUUCUAUAGUUCCCUUAGGAUAAAGUCCAAAUUUCUUUACAAGAUAUAUACAGCCUUUCUUGAUUUAGGCAACCUCCAUCUAACCAACCUUCACUCCAUCCUCAUCUCUUUUAGUCACUUUGUCCUAAGUUGCACAGAUCAUUUACAGUUCUUAACAAUCCAGAAAAGAAAUGUAUUUUCUACUCCUCUUGUGUUCUCUCUUCUUUUCUCUCUUCUUUCUUUUUUUA